rnacentral:rRNA from 1 species
UGGGGAAUUUUGGACAAUGGGGGCAACCUGAUCCAGCAAUGCCGCGUGUGUGAAGAAGGCCUUCGGGUUGUAAAGCACUUUUGUCCGGAAAGAAAACGUCGUGGUUAAUACCCGUGGCGGCUGACGGUACCGGAAGAAUAAGCACCGGCUAACUACGUGCCAGCAGCCGCGGUAAUACGUAGGGUGCAAGCGUUAAUCGGAAUUACUGGGCGUAAAGCGUGCGCAGGCGGUCCGCUAAGACAGAUGUGAAAUCCCCGGGCUUAACCUGGGAACUGCAUUUGUGACUGGCGGGCUAGAGUAUGGCAGAGGGGGGUUAGAAUUCCACGUGUAGCAGUGAAAUGCGUAGAGAUGUGGAGGAAUACCGAUGGCGAAGGCAGCCCCCUUGGGCCAAUACUGACGCUCAUGCACGAAAGCGUGGGGGAGCAAACAGGAUUAGAUACCCUGGUAGUCCACGCCCUAAACGAUGUCAACUAGUUGUCGGG